UACGGAGGGGGCUAGCGUUGUUCGGAUUCAUUGGGCGUAAAGGGUGCGUAGGCGGCCCGGUAAGUCGGGUGUGAAAUCUCGGGGCUUAACUCCGAAACUGCAUUCGAUACUGCCGUGCUUGAGGACUGGAGAGGAGACUGGAAUUUACGGUGUAGCGGUGAAAUGCGUAGAUAUCGUAAGGAAGACCAGUGGCGAAGGCGGGUCUCUGGACAGUUCCUGACGCUGAGGCACGAAGGCCAGGGGAGCAAACGGG
rnacentral:rRNA from 1 species